rnacentral:lncRNA from 1 species
UCCAGGGAUUAUCUCAUUUUAAGCUUUUUCUUUUUUUUUGAGACAGAGUCUCGCUCUGUCACCAGGCUGGAGUGCAGUGGUGUGAUCUUGGCUCACUGCAACCUCCACCUCCUGAGUUCAAGCGAUUUUUCUGCCUCAGCCUCCUAAGUAGCUGGGACUACAGACACACACCACCACACACAGCUAAUUUUUGUAUUUUUAGUAGAGACGAGAUUUCACCAUGCUGGCCAGGAUAGUCUCGAUCUCUUGACCUAGUGAUCCACCCGCCUCGACCUCCCAAAGCGCUGGCAUUACAGGUGUGAGCCACAACACCCAGCCUCAUUUUAAGCUUUUUCUUAUGCCACGUUGCAACCUGAAAGGCUUUGUCCACUGGACAAAGCAUCAA